GACGAACGCUGGCGGCGUGCUUAACACAUGCAAGUCGAACGGAAAGGCCCUGCUUUUGUGGGGUGCUCGAGUGGCGAACGGGUGAGUAACACGUGAGUAACCUGCCCUUGACUUUGGGAUAACUUCAGGAAACUGGGGCUAAUACCGGAUAGGAGCUCCUGCUGCAUGGUGGGGGUUGGAAAGUUUCGGCGGUUGGGGAUGGACUCGCGGCUUAUCAGCUUGUUGGUGGGGUAGUGGCUUACCAAGGCUUUGACGGGUAGCCGGCCUGAGAGGGUGACCGGCCACAUGGGGAGUGAGUUACGGCCAGGCCCCCACCGGGAGGCAGAGGGGGGGAUUAGGGCAAAAUGGGCGGAAGCCGUAUGAAGCAACGCGGCGGGGGGGAUGAGGGCCUUGGGGUUGUAACCCCUUUUCGCCUGUGACAAAGCGUGAGUGAGGGUAAUGGAAAAAGAAGCACGGGCUAACUACGUG
rnacentral:rRNA from 1 species